CUUUUACUCUUAAAGCUACUAUCAAAGUUAAUAGUUUCAAAUUAUUAAGAGUAAAAGCUAUCCUCGUCAACUUUGAGUGUAGGUAUUAGCAAAUCCUGGCUACUAUUAUCUUCUUCUUCUUCUUUAUGGCGGGCUCGUUGCUAAGGACGCCUCCGUGCAAAACGUAAACAUCCGACAUGAAUUAAGUAUAUAUUUCAAAAGAAUAAUAAAGAAAAGAUGUAUAAAUGUACAACAGAAACAUAAUAAAUGGCAAACACAAGAAAAUACUGAGUCUUGUGGCAGAUAGAAGCAGCCUCAAAGGCUGCUUUUACUCCGUCACUCGUCAAUACCCGUAUCUCCCCGCCUGCGUCACGACUUGCUCUGCUGAAAUUACCGCACCAUAACCACGUCAUCUGCCCCAAUGAGCACAUCUACGGGCCGGGGAACCAGCGCAGAAAAGGAGUAAGUUUAAUUGGUCGCCAGAUGAAACGGUCUUACAUCAAAUUCAAGAAAAAAUACGUAUAAUCAGAGGGUGUUAUGGGAAGAGUAUCACCCCUGAGGAUAAGAAGAGAGCGUGGACUGAAGUGGCAGAAGCUGUAACAAGUGCCUUCCCUGGGAGUGGACCCCGUACGCAGGAUGACUGUGAGAGGCGUUGGUACAACGUACAACAAAAAUCAAAGCCUUGCAUUGCCAAGUGCAAGAAUGAGCAGCGGCAGACUGAUACACACUUUAUCAGUAUUGCUAGAGACCAUCCCAGCACAUUGUUCAUUACUUGUGGAAAAGAUACCAUUAGCUGCUCCGGCAACAGCCACUGCUUCAAUAUCUGCUGGCCCUAUGACACCAGCCACUGCUUCAUCAUCUGCUGGCCCAAUGACACCAGCCACUGCUUCAUCAUCUGCUGGCCCAAUGACACCUGCCACUGCAAGGGAUGACAAUGAAGCUGCUCCACCACAGUCACCACCUACUUCA